rnacentral:rRNA from 1 species
UACAGAGGUGGCAAGCGUUGUUCGGAAUUACUGGGCGUAAAGGGCGCGUAGGCGGUCUUGCAAGUCCCGUGUGAAAUCCCUCGGCUCAACUGAGGAAUCGCACGGGAAACUGCUUGGCUUGAGAUCGGGAGAGGGAAGCGGAAUUCCGGGUGUAGCGGUGAAAUGCGUAGAUAUCCGGAGGAACACCGGUGGCGAAGGCGGCUUACCUGGACCGACACUGACGCUGAGGCGCGAAAGCUAGGGGAGC